GCGAUAGCUCAGUUGGUAGAGCAGUGGUCUUGUAACCCGUCGACCCAGGUUCGAAACCAAGUCAAUGCG
rnacentral:tRNA from 1 species